rnacentral:rRNA from 1 species
AUUGAACGCUGGCGGCAGGCCUAACACAUGCAAGUCGAGCGCGUGGCGGACGGGUGCGUCAUGUCUGGGCAACUGCCCGCUGGAGGGGGAUAACUACUGGAAACGGUAGAUAAUACCGCAUACCAUCAGAUGUGCCCAGAUGGGAUUAGCUAGUAGGUGGGGUAAUGGCUCAACUAGGCGACCAUCCCUAGCUGGGCUGAGAGGAUGACCAGCCAAACUGGAACUGAGACACGGUCCAGACUCCUACGGGAGGCAGCAGUGGGGAAUAUUGCACAAUGGGCGCAAGCCUGAUGCAGCCAUGCCGCGUGUGUGAAGAAGGCCUUCGGGUUGUAAAGCACUUUCAGCGAGGAGGCGUUACUCGCAGAAGAAGCACCGGCUAACUCCGUGCCAGCAGCCGCGGUAAUAC